rnacentral:rRNA from 1 species
ACCUCAGAGCAGGCGAGAUCACCCGCUGAAUUUAAGCAUAUAAAAUAAAGCA